rnacentral:lncRNA from 1 species
UGGGCUAUCCUUGGGCAGAACAUCUCUGGGGACUCAGAGGAUCCCAAGGUUAAAGGUCAAUAGGAAUGACCCUGACUGUCAGUUAUAGAGACACAGACCCAGCAGAGGGAGUGAGGCAGGCAAUCUGGCCCCCAGGAUGCUAAUUCAUAACCUUACAAUUUCAAACCGGGGCAAGCUUCUAUUUCUGUCCCUCAGCUCCAUUUUGCUGCAAGGAUGCCAUAGGGAGGAGUUCCCACUGGACAGUAUCUCCCACCCUUCCCCUUCCUUUGCUCCCCUUUCACUCACACAUAGAGCUAGGCCUGUAUACUACUGAUUUUGGAGGACCGUUUUCAAUGUCUAAUAAUCUGUUUGGGUGUGUCGUGGUCAGAAAAAAGAGAGAGAGAGCGAGAGAGAAAAGCUGAGUGUGAUGGAACAUGAACCUCAACAAAUACUGGCUGUUCUUGUAAGAUAGUUUAACCCUGUACAAAUGCAACUUUUCUUUUAGCUUAAUGGCCUGGGGUGGAACAUUCAAAUAUAUAAAUAUAUAUAUUAAAAUACAUUAAAAUUUCAGAAAAAUGUAAAAAAAAAUUGAGGUCCGUUCCAUAAAGUUUUACUGCCUAUACCACCAUGUAACUACGUUAUAGCAAAAUAUUAAAGAGAAACAUUCUUUUCUUUUAAAGUAAGUUAUUGCACUUACAUCUUUUGGAGAGGGGAGGAAGGUGGGAAGAAGCCCCCCCCCCAGGAGCUGAGGGGCUGAGGUGGGCGAAAGGCAAGGCAGAGGCACCUGACACUCCCCUUUUGUCGGGGACAGCCCAGACUGUCUGUUUGGUUGUUGUUGUUUGCAAUAAACUCCUUCCUCCUCUC